AUGCAAGUAGAACGCUGAAGAGAGGAGCUUGCUCUUCUUGGAUGAGUUGCGAACGGGUGAGUAACGCGUAGGUAACCUGCCUUGUAGCGGGGGAUAACUAUUGGAAACGAUAGCUAAUACCGCAUAACAAUGGAUGACACAUGUCAUUUAUUUGAAAGGGGCAAUUGCUCCACUACAAGAUGGACCUGCGUUGUAUUAGCUAGUAGGUGAGGUAAUGGCUCACCUAGGCGACGAUACAUAGCCGACCUGAGAGGGUGAUCGGCCACACUGGGACUGAGACACGGCCCAGACUCCUACGGGAGGCAGCAGUAGGGAAUCUUCGGCAAUGGGGGCAACCCUGACCGAGCAACGCCGCGUGAGUGAAGAAGGUUUUCGGAUCGUAAAGCUCUGUUGUAAGUCAAGAACGGGUGUGAGAGUGGAAAGUUCACACUGUGACGGUAGCUUACCAGAAAGGGACGGCUAACUACGUGCCAGCAGCCGCGGUAAUACGUAGGUCCCGAGCGUUGUCCGGAUUUAUUGGGCGUAAAGCGAGCGCAGGCGGUUUGAUAAGUCUGAAGUUAAAGGCUGUGGCUCAACCAUAGUUCGCUUUGGAAACUGUCAAACUUGAGUGCAGAAGGGGAGAGUGGAAUUCCAUGUGUAGCGGUGAAAUGCGUAGAUAUAUGGAGGAACACCGGUGGCGAAAGCGGCUCUCUGGUCUGUAACUGACGCUGAGGCUCGAAAGCGUGGGGAGCGAACAGGAUUAGAUACCCUGGUAGUCCACGCCGUAAACGAUGAGUGCUAGGUGUUGGAUCCUUUCCGGGAUUCAGUGCCGAAGCUAACGCAUUAAGCACUCCGCCUGGGGAGUACGACCGCAAGGUUGAAACUCAAAGGAAUUGACGGG
rnacentral:rRNA from 1 species